rnacentral:tRNA from 1 species
UGGGGUUGUACCUCAGUGGUAGAACAUGUGCUUUUUAUGCACAGUCCCUGUGUUCAAUCCCCAGCACUGUAA